GUACCCGCUGAACUUAAGCAUAUCAAUAAGCGGAGGAAAAGAAACCAACAGGGAUUGCCCUAGUAACGGCGAGUGAAGCGGCAACAGCUCAAAUUUGAAAUCUGGCGGCCCCCGCGGCGGCCCGAGUUGUAAUUUGUAGAGGAUGCUUUUGGCGAGGUGCCUUCCGAGUUCCCUGGAACGGGACGCCAUAGAGGGUGAGAGCCCCGUACGGCUGGACGCCGAGCCUCUGUAAAGCUCCUUCGACGAGUCGAGUAGUUUGGGAAUGCUGCUCAAAAUGGGAGGUAAAUGCCUUCUAAAGCUAAAUACCGGCCAGAGACCGAUAGCGCACAAGUAGAGUGAUCGAAAGAUGAAAAGCACUUUGAAAAGAGGGUUAAAUAGUACGUGAAAUUGUUGAAAGGGAAGCGCUCGUGACCAGACUCGGGCCCUGUGGAUCAUCCAGCGUUCUCGCUGGUGCACUCCGCUCGGCCCGGGCCAGCAUCGAUUUCCCCAGGGGGAUUAAAGCCUCGGGAACGUAGCUCCUCCGGGAGUGUUAUAGCCCCUGGCAGAAAGCCCCUGGGGGGAUCGAGGACCGCGCUCCGGCAAGGAUGCUGGCGUAAUGGUCAUCAGCGACCCGUCUUGAAACACGGACCAAGGAGUCAAGCAGUAGGGCGAGUGUUUGGGUGUCAAACCCGCACGCGAAAUGAAAGUGAACGCAGGUGAGAGCUUCGGCGCAUCAUCGACCGAUCCUGAUGUAUUCGGAUGGAUUUGAGUAAGAGCCUUGCCGCUUGGACCCGAAAGAUGGUGAACUAUGCCUGGAUAGGGUGAAGCCAGAGGAAACUCUGGUGGAGGCUCGCAGCGGUUCUGACGUGCAAAUCGAUCGUCAAAUCUGGGCAUGGGGGCGAAAGACUAAUCGAACCAUCUAGUAGCUGGUUACCGCCGAAGUUUCCCUCAGGAUAGCAGUGUUGUAUUCAGUUUUAUGAGGUAAAGCGAAUGAUUAGGGACUCGGGGGCGCUAUUUUGCCUUCAUCCAUUCUCAAACUUUAAAUAUGUAAGAAGCCCUUGUUACUUAACUGAACGUGGGCAUUCGAAUGUACCAACACUAGUGGGCCAUUUUUGGUAAGCAGAACUGGCG
rnacentral:rRNA from 1 species